GAUGAACGCUGGCGGCGUGCCUAAUACAUGCAAGUCGAGCGAACAGACGAGGAGCUUGCUCCUCUGACGUUAGCGGCGGACGGGUGAGUAACACGUGGAUAACCUACCUAUAAGACUGGGAUAACUUCGGGAAACCGGAGCUAAUACCGGAUAAUAUAUUGAACCGCAUGGUUCAAUAGUGAAAGACGGUUUUGCUGUCACUUAUAGAUGGAUCCGCGCCGCAUUAGCUAGUUGGUAAGGUAACGGCUUACCAAGGCAACGAUGCGUAGCCGACCUGAGAGGGUGAUCGGCCACACUGGAACUGAGACACGGUCCAGACUCCUACGGGAGGCAGCAGUAGGGAAUCUUCCGCAAUGGGCGAAAGCCUGACGGAGCAACGUCGCGUGAGUGAUGAAGGUCUUCGGAUCGUAAAACUCUGUUAUUAGGGAAGAACAAAUGUGUAAGUAACUAUGCACGUCUUGACGGUACAUAAUCAGAAAGCCACGGCUAACUACGUG
rnacentral:rRNA from 1 species